CAAAAGACUCUCGGCAACGGAUAUCUCGGCUCACGCAUCGAUGAAGAACGUAGCAAAAUGCGAUACUUGGUGUGAAUUGCAGAAUCCCGUGAACCAUCGAGUUUUUGAACGCAAGUUGCGYCCGAAGCCUUUUGGCCGAGGGCACGUCUGCCUGGGCGUCACAC
rnacentral:rRNA from 1 species